rnacentral:rRNA from 1 species
UGGGGAAUUUUGGACAAUGGGGGAAACCCUGAUCCAGCCAUCCCGCGUGUGCGAUGAAGGCCUUCGGGUUGUAAAGCACUUUUGGCAGGAAAGAAACGUCAUGGGUUAAUACCCCGUGAAACUGACGGUACCUGCAGAAUAAGCACCGGCUAACUACGUGCCAGCAGCCGCGGUAAUACGUAGGGUGCAAGCGUUAAUCGGAAUUACUGGGCGUAAAGCGUGCGCAGGCGGUUCGUAAAGAAAGAUGUGAAAUCCCAGAGCUCAACUUUGGAACUGCAUUUUUAACUACCGUGCUAGAGUGUGUCAGAGGGAGGUGGAAUUCCGCGUGUAGCAGUGAAAUGCGUAGAUAUGCGGAGGAACACCGAUGGCGAAGGCAGCCUCCUGGGAUAACACUGACGCUCAUGCACGAAAGCGUGGGGAGCAAACAGG